AUAUCAAUAAGCGGAGGAAAAGAAACUAACAAGGAUUCCCUUAGUAACUGCGAGUGAAGAGGGAAGAGCUCAAAUUUGAAAUCUGGCGGUCCUUCGGCUGUCCGAGUUGUAGUUUAGAGAAGUGCUAUCCGCGCUGGCCCGUGCAUAAGUUUCUUGGAAAAGAACAUCAUAGAGGGUGACAAUCCCGUCUUUGGCACGGAUCCCAGGGCUUUUGUGAUGCGCUCUCGACGAGUCGAGUUGUUUGGGAAUGCAGCUCUAAAUGGGUGGUAAAUUCCAUCUAAAGCUAAAUAUUGGCGAGAGACCGAUAGCGAACAAGUACCGUGAGGGAAAGAUGAAAAGAACUUUGAAAAGAGAGUUAAACAGUACGUGAAAUUGUUGAAAGGGAAACGCUUGAAGUCAGUCGUGUCCUCUAGGGAUCAAGUCAGCUCUGGCUGGCCGUACUUCCUGGUCGACGGGUCAGCAUCAGUUUUGACCGUCGGAAAAGGGCUUGAGGAAUGUGGCACUCUCUUUACCGGGGGUGUGUUAUAGACUCUUGUCUUGAAUACGAUGGUCGGGACUGAGGAACCGCAGCACGGCCUUUAUGGUUUUCGGGGCUUAGGCUCACGUUUAGCGUGCUUAGGAUGCUGGCAUAAUGGCCUUAAGCGA
rnacentral:rRNA from 1 species